rnacentral:lncRNA from 1 species
UUUGGUCAGUCUUCAAGCUCGCCUUGCCAGGUUCCAGCACCGCCUGAAAGAACAAGAGAUACUUAGUCGCAAGAGAGUUCCUCGUUAGACAGCACUGUUUUUUUCGCAGCUUCACUGACUGCAUCCUGUCUUGUAAUUCUUCUUUCUUUUAUAUGCGGUUUUUGCUUUAUUUUCUGUUGCAAACUAUAGUUUACUUAAUCCUAAACAUUAGUUACUUAUAUAUAUCAGUUUGUGUUGGCCCUGGCAGUCAAAUCACGGAUCGCACUGUCUUGUGAGAGGAAUGGCCGAAUGAAAUUUAGUUUCAGGGCACUAAUGUUGCCUCUCAUGACCAGGCCGACUGAUACGACAGAAACUCUUGUUCAUUGCCUGGUGUUGGGCGGUUGAGCUGUCAAGUCUAUUUUCAAAUGUGUUAUUGGUGAGGUUUUAUGGUUUCGUGGGAAAUGGUUUUGGAAGGUGAAGGACGUAAG